ACCAGACUCCUACGGGAGGCAGCAGUGGGGGAUAUUGCACAAUGGGGGGAACCCUGAUGCAGCGACGCCGCGUGGGUGAAGAAGUAUUUCGGUAUGUAAAGCCCUAUCGGCAGGGAAGAAAUUGGACGGUACCUGACUAAGAAGCCCUGGCUAACUACGUGCCAGCAGCCGCGGUAAUACGUAGGGGGCAAGCGUUAUCCGGAUUCACUGGGUGUAAAGGGAGCGUAGACGGCCAUGCAAGCCUGGAGUGAAAGCCCGGGGCCCAACCCCGGGACUGCUCUGGGAACUGUGCGGCUGGAGUGCGGGAGGGGCAGGCGGAAUUCCUGGUGUAGCGGUGAAAUGCGUAGAUAUCAGGAGGAACACCGGCGGCGAAGGCGGCCUGCUGGACCGCGACUGACGUUGAGGCUCGAAAGCGUGGGGAGCAAACAGGAUUAGAUACCCUCGUAC
rnacentral:rRNA from 1 species